rnacentral:rRNA from 1 species
GACAGAGGUCCCGAGCGUUAGGCGGAAUCACUGGGCUUAAAGCGUGUGUAGGCGGAUGCCUAAGUACCUUGUGAAAUCCCACGGCUCACCCGUGGAACUGCUUGGUAUACUGGGUGUCUUGAGCCACUUAGGGGCUACCGGAACAAAUGGUGGAGCGGUGAAAUGCGUAGAUAUCGGGAGGAACACCUAUGGCGAAGGCAGCUCGCUGGGACGUUACUGACGCUGAGACGCGAAAGCGUGGGGAGCAAACAGG